UACGGGGGGGGCAAGCGUUGUUCGGAAUUACUGGGCGUAAAGGGCUCGUAGGCGGCCAACUAAGUCAGACGUGAAAUCCCUCAGCUUAACUGGGGAACUGCGUCUGAUACUGGAUGGCUUGAGUUCGGGAGAGGGAUGCGAUACUAGGUGUAGCGGUGAAAUACGUAGAUAUCUGGGAGGAACACCGGUGGCGAAGGCGGCAUCCUGGACUGGUCCUGACACUCAGGAGCGAAAGCGUGGGGAGCGAUCCGG
rnacentral:rRNA from 1 species